rnacentral:rRNA from 1 species
GUCCACGCCGUAAACGAUGGGCACUAGGUGCUCGGGGGAGCGACCCUCCGAGUGCCGGCGCUAACGCAUUAAGUGCCCCGCCUGGGGAGUACGGCCGCAAGGCUGAAACUCAAAGGAAUUGACGGGGGCCCGCACAAGCGGUGGAGCAUGUGGUUUAAUUCGACGCAACGCGAAGAACCUUACCUGGGCUUGACAUGCUAGUGAAAGGCCGGUGAAAGCCGGCCCCCCCUUCGGGCGGCUAGCACAGGUGCUGCAUGGCUGUCGU